rnacentral:rRNA from 1 species
CUAGCUGGUGGGGUAAGAGCUCACCAGGGCGACGAUCGGUAGCUGGUCUGAGAGGACGAUCAGCCACACUGGGAUUGAGAACGGCCCAGACUCCUACGGGGGGCAGCAGUGAGGAAUUUUCGUCAAUGGGGGCAACCCUGAACGAGCAACGCCGCGUGCAGGAAGAAGGUUUUCGGAUCGUAAACUGCUUUUCUCGGGGACGAGUACGGACGGUACCCGAGGAAUCAGCCCCGGCUAACUACGUGCCAGCAGCCGCGGUAAUACGUAGGGGGCGAGCGUUGUCCGGAGUUACUGGGCGUAAAGCGCACGCAGGCGGUUCUUUCAGUUCAACGUGACAGUCGUCGGCUCAACUGACGAAGGACGAGGAAGACGGGAGAACUUGAGGGCUUCAGAGGGACACGGAAUUCCGGGUGGAGUGGUGAAAUGCGUAGAUAUCCGGAGGAACACCAACAGCGAAGGCAGUGUCCUGGGAAGUCGCUGACGCUCAGGUGCGAAAGCCAGGGGAGCGAACGGGAUUAGAUACCCCGGUAGUCCUGGCCGUAAACGAUGACCACCAGGCGUGGGGGGUAUCGACCCCCUCCGUGCCGGAGCUAACGCGGUAAGUGGUCCGCCUGGGGAGUACGGUCGCAAGAUUAAAACUCAAAGGAAUUGACG